rnacentral:rRNA from 1 species
GACGAACGCUGGCGGCGUGCUUAACACAUGCAAGUCGAACGGGUCUGCCCUGUUUUUUGCGGGGUGGGUCAGUGGCGAACGGGUGAGUAACACGUGAGUAACCUGCCCCUCACUUCUGGAUAACCGCUUGAAAUGGUGGCUAAUACGGGGUGUUCUGGCUGUGCCGCAUGGUGUGGCUGGGAAAGAUUCACUUUUGUGGUGUUUUGGUGGGGGAUGGGCUCGCGGCCUAUCAGCUUGUUGGUGGGGUGAUGGCCUGCCAAGGCUUUGACGGGUAGCCGGCCUGAGAGGGUGGGCGGUCACACUGGGACUGAGAUACGGCCCAGACUCCUGCGGGAGGCAGCAGUGGGGGGUAUUGCACAAUGGGCGGAAGCCUGAUGCAGCGGCGUCGCGUGAGGGAUGGAGGCCUUCGGGUUGUGAACCUCUUUCGCCGGUGAAGAAGGUCCUGCUCUUUGUGGUGGGGUUGACGGUAGCCGGGUUAUGAAGCGCCGGCUAACUACGUG